UGUAUACUAAUACGAGAAGCUUAUAUAUGGUCAUAAUAAGGAUGGCCGUCUCUACCCAACACCGUAAAUGUUGGUCUAUAAGUGAAAAAGUGUCUGAG
rnacentral:ncRNA from 2 species